rnacentral:rRNA from 1 species
AUUGAACGCUGGCGGCAUGCUUUACACAUGCAAGUCGAACGAUAACAGGCCUUCGGGUGCUGACGAGUGGCGAACGGGUGAGUAAUGCAUCGGAACGUACCCAGAGGUGGGGGAUAACGCAGCGAAAGCUGUGCUAAUACCGCAUGUGAUCUGAGGAUGAAAGCGGGGGACCGAGCAGCAAUGUUUGGCCUCGCGCCUUUGGAGCGGCCGAUGUCGGAUUAGCUAGUUGGUGGGGUAAAGGCCUACCAAGGCGACGAUCCGUAGCUGGUCUGAGAGGACGACCAGCCACACUGGGACUGAGACACGGCCCAGACUCCUACGGGAGGCAGCAGUGGGGAAUUUUGGACAAUGGGCGCAAGCCUGAUCCAGCAAUGCCGCGUGCGGGAAGAAGGCCUUCGGGUUGUAAACCGCUUUUGGCAGGAACGAAACGGUGUCCGCUAAUACCGGGCGCUAAUGACGGUACCUGCAGAAUAAGCACCGGCUAACUACGUG